CCUACGGGAGGCAGCAGUGAGGAAUAUUGGUCAAUGGCCGGAAGGCUGAACCAGCCAUGCCGCGUGAAGGUCAGUGCCCUAUGGGCGUUAAACUUCUUUUGUGCGGGAGCAAUAAUGGUCACGUGUGGCCAGACGAGAGUACCGUACGAAUAAGCAUCGGCUAACUCCGUGCCAGCAGCCGCGGUAAUACGGGGGAUGCAAGCGUUAUCCGGAUUUAUUGGGUUUAAAGGGUGCGUAGGCGGUGAGGUAAGUCAGCGGGGAAAUGCCCCCGCUCAACGGGGUGAAGUGCCAUUGAUACUGCCUUGCUGGAAUGCGGAUGCCGUGGGAGGAAUGUGUGGUGUAGCGGUGAAAUGCAUAGAUAUCACACAGAACACUGAUUGCGAAGGCAUCUCACGAAUCCGCGAUUGACGCUGAUGCACGAAAGCGUGGGUAUCAAACAGGAUUAGAUACCCUUGUAGUC
rnacentral:rRNA from 1 species